rnacentral:rRNA from 1 species
GAUGAACGCUAGCGGCAGGCCUAACACAUGCAAGUCGAGGGGCAGCAUAAAAUAAACUUGUUUAUUUGGUGGCGACCGGCGCACGGGUGCGUAACGCGUAUGCAACCUACCUUACGCAGGGGGAUAGCCCGGAGAAAUUCGGAUUAAUACCCCAUAGCACUAUCGGAUGGCAUCAUUUGAUAUUUAAAGCUUUGGCGGUGUAAGAUGGGCAUGCGUCCUAUUAGCUAGUUGGUGAGGUAACGGCUCACCAAGGCUACGAUAGGUAGGGGGCCUGAGAGGGUGGUCCCCCACACUGGUACAGAGACACGGACCAGACUCCUACGGGAGGCAGCAGUGAGGAAUAUUGGUCAAUGGGCGCAAGCCUGAACCAGCCAUGCCGCGUGAAGGAUGAAGGUUCUAUGGAUUGUAAACUUCUUUUAUUUGGGAAUAAACCCCUUUACGUGUAGAGGGCUGAAGGUACCAAAUGAAUAAGCACCGGCUAACUCCGUGCCAGCCGCCGCCGUAAGAC